GACGAACGCUGGCGGCGUGCUUAACACAUGCAAGUCGAACGGAAAGGCCCUGCUUUUGUGGGGUGCUCGAGUGGCGAACGGGUGAGUAACACGUGAGUAACCUGCCCUUGACUUUGGGAUAACUUCAGGAAACUGGGGCUAAUACCGGAUAGGAGCUCCUGCUGCAUGGUGGGGGUUGGAAAGUUUCGGCGGUUGGGGAUGGACUCGCGGCUUAUCAGCUUGUUGGUGGGGUAGUGGCUUACCAAGGUUUUGACGGGUAGCCGGCCUGAGAGGGUGACCGGCCACAUUGGGACUGAGAUACGGCCCAGAAUCCUACGGGAGGCAGCAGUGGGGAAUAUUGCACAAUGGGCGGAAGCCUGAUGCAGCAACGCCGCGUGCGGGAUGACGGCCUUCGGGUUGUAAACCGCUUUCGCCUGUGACGAAGCGUGAGUGACGGUAAUGGGUAAAGAAGCACCGGCUAACUACGUG
rnacentral:rRNA from 1 species